rnacentral:rRNA from 1 species
UAGGUGAACCUGCGGAAGGAUCAUUAAAAAUGGCGAGGAUCGCAUUUAUCGACCCUUCACACUUUUUUCUGUGCACUAUCGCUGUUUUGAUUUGAACGGAGGGAGCGCAAGCAUCGCUCCGGCCAAAUUCAUGGACCGGACCCUGGAUAUUUUUAUCUCCUGAAUUCAUGCUGCUGAUGAUUUUUCCCACGGUCCGUCUACCCACUCUUCUAACACUGACUGAACCACAAAACAUAAAGUUUAAACAACUUUAUCGUCGGGAUCUCUCGGCUUUCGUAUCGAUGAAGAAUGCUCGGAAUCGCGAUAUGUAGUGUGAUCUGCAUCGCGUGAAUCAUCAAAUCUUUGAACGCAUCUUGCACCUUUUGGUAUUCCAAAAGGUACGCCUGUUUCAGUAUAUCGCUGUAGAUUUGCCCAGAUGUAUUUUUGGAAAAAUGCUCGCUGACAGUUGGCCCUGCGUCUCUGCAAAGAGUCGUCUCGGCUUGAAUACCCUGUUGAUUGUAACUGUUUCAUCUACGGUCAAUGCUCGUGAUAGUCGCUGCUGAUAGCCAGAAAUGAAGCGGGAUCGACCGUAUCGAACCCCCCUAAACUUGAUCUGAAAUCAGGCGAUCGGCUCCGCUGAACUUAAGCAUAUCAAUAAGCGGAGGAUAGGCUCGCUGUUAUUAAGUCGCUCUGA